rnacentral:rRNA from 1 species
CGAGGCAACGCGAAGAACCUUACCUGGGUUUGACAUGUUGGGGACAGCCGCAGAGAUGCGGUUUCCUUAUGGUCCCAUCACAGGUGGGGCAUGGCUGUCGUCAGCUCGUGUCGUGAGAUGUUGGGUUAAGUCCCGCAACGAGCGCAACCCUUGUCCUAUGUUGCCAGCGCGUAAUGGCGGGGACUCGUGGGAGACUGCCGGCGAUAAGUCGGAGGAAGGUGGGGACGACGUCAAGUCAUCAUGCCCCUUAUGCCCAGGGCUGCAAACAUGCUACAAUGGCCGGUACAAAGGGCUGCGAAACCGUGAGGUCAAGCGAAUCCCAUAAAGCCGGUCUCAGUUCGGAUUGGAGUCUGCAACUCGACUCCAUGAAGCCGGAGUCGCUAGUAAUCCCGGAUCAGCAACGCCGGGGUGAAUACGUUCCCGGGCCUUGUACACACCGA